rnacentral:rRNA from 1 species
AAGCUUAAACUGAAGAGUUUGAUCCUGGCUCAGAUUGAACGCUGGCGGCAUGCCUAACACAUGCAAGUCGAACGGAAACGAUGGAAGCUUGCUUCCAGGCGUCGAGUGGCGGACGGGUGAGUAAUACUUAGGAAUCUGCCCAUUAGUAGGGGACAACUCGGGGAAACUCGAGCUAAUACCGUAUACGCCCUAUGGGGGAAAGCGGAGGACCUUUCGGGGCUUCGCGCUAAUGGAUGAGCCUAAGCCGGAUUAGCUAGUUGGUAGAGUAAAAGCCUACCAAGGCGACGAUCCGUAGCUGGUUUGAGAGGACGAUCAGCCACACUGGGACUGAGACACGGCCCAGACUCCUACGGGAGGCAGCAGUGGGGAAUAUUGGACAAUG